UACGGGGGGGGGCAAGCGUUGUUCGGAAUUACUGGGCGUAAAGGGCUCGUAGGCGGCCAACUAAGUCAGACGUGAAAUCCCUCGGCUUAACCGGGGGAACUGCGUCUGAUACUGGAUGGCUUGAGUUCGGGAGAGGGAUGCGGAAUUCCAGGUGUAGCGGUGAAAUGCGUAGAUAUCUGGAGGAACACCGGUGGCGAAGGCGGCAUCCUGGACCGACACUGACGCUGAGGAGCGAAAGCCAGGGGAGCAAAGCGGG
rnacentral:rRNA from 1 species